GGGAUUGCCUCAGUAACGGCGAGUGAAGCGGCAACAGCUCAAAUUUGAAAUCUGGCGCCUUCGGCGUCCGAGUUGUAAUUUGUAGAGGGAGUCUCGGGUUAGGGGUCGGUCCAAGUUCCUUGGAACAGGAUGCCGAAGAGGGUGAGAGUCCCGUAUCCGGCCGAGGCCCGCGCCCGUGUGAGGCCCCUUCGACGAGUCGAGUUGUUUGGGAAUGCAGCUCUAAAUGGGUGGUAAAUUCCAUCUAAAGCUAAAUACUGGCCAGAGACCGAUAGCGCACAAGUAGAGUGAUCGAAAGAUGAAAAGCACUUUGAAAAGAGAGUCAAACAGUACGUGAAAUUGUUGAAAGGGAAGCGUAUGUGGGCAGACUUGGACGUUGGAUUCAGCCCGUCUUCUGGCGGGUGUACUUUCCAGCGGACAGGCCAGCAUCGGUUCUGAGGGUCGGACAAAGACGAAGGGAAAGUGGCUCUCAGAUAUGGGAGUGUUAUAGCCCGGCGUGCAAUGCGACCACUUGGGACCGAGGACCGCGCUUCGGCAAGGAUGCUGGCGUAAUGGCCUCAUACGGCCCGUCUUGAAACACGGACCAAGGAGUCUAACAUCUAUGCGAGUGUUUGGGUGUCAAGCCCGGACGCGCAAUGAAAGUGAACGGAGGUGGGAGUCUGCUGUAGCGGAUGCACCAUCGACCGAUCCUGAAGUUUUCGGAAGGAUUUGAGUAAGAGCAUAGCUGUUGGGACCCGAAAGAUGGUGAACUAUGCGUGAAUAGGGUGAAGCCAGAGGAAACUCUGGUGGAGGCUCGCAGCGG
rnacentral:rRNA from 1 species